UAGAGCGUCCUAGUGAUCAAACGCUAAUGAGUUUUGUUUACUCAUUGGUCUGUUGCUAGUUUCAUUGAAAUAACAAAAAAAUCUGACCCUAUCCACGGCGCAGGUCACUUUAUUCAUGCAAUUUUAUAUCAGUAAGAAAAAUAGUUGGAUCGGCCGUGUUUGUUUAGGAAUGAUAGCAAUAGUCCCGACUGCGAGUCGCUCAACAGACAUCGAUCCAACAUCCGGUUGUCCUUGCAGGUAACACCGUUGAACUUCAUUCUCUUCAACACCCACCCCAACAACUAAUAAUAACGUAUUCAAUGUUCUUGCGGUUCUUGUUUUCAACGUUGGAUAAUUAUAGAUAUUUUUAGGUCUAUUGUUUAAAAGGUGAGUGUUUAUCUUCUCAUAGAUUUUAGAAUAAAUUCAUUUAUGUUAAAUUACAGCUAUGCUGCCUUGUUAGAAUGGUCAAAACAGCUCCCUGAUUUAAAUACGUCCAAAAUCAGACAAAAAUGAAUAGACGGAAGAUCAAACAGCAAGUCAGCGAAAAGCAAAAGCUGACUGAAGUGAUGGCCGAUAUCCGCGAAAAGGAUCGCGAAAGGAUAGUUUUCUUCCGUCAGAUUGGAGAAAUUGCUGAUAGAUAUGCUUGGAAAGGCAUCCACCAGAACGGCAAUCAUGGUAAGAAAAAACGCCCGACAGGAAGAAUUCCAGCUAUUCCUACAAGUAUAGUCCCUCCCGGGAAUAAGUCAAUGGUUCCAUUUCCCUCUCUGUGGAUGGAGUCCGUUUUUAAACGUGUUGGAUUAGAAAUCCGGAACCAGUCGUUGACGAAUGAGCUUAAACAAGAAGUAGAUUUGGAUUACUGUACUGCAAUUAAGAACAUCAAGACAUCCAAUUUAGUAAAACCACCAAUUUCAGCUGGAGAAUAUGGACUCGUACUGGAUAACAGUAAAAAUAGUUUCAAAGAGGCUCUUCGUGUUAUUCAACGCAAUUUAAUUCGAUGUCAUCCUCUAAUUCAUCGGCCGGCCGUUCAUUUACGCUCAAAAUUGAUCAAUGUUCGAUUGAAACCACUAUUAAGAGGAGAGUACAUAUCACUUGAGGACAUGAUUGAUUCCAUUUGGUCGGAAUGGAAGAAAACUACAGAUGAAUUCAAGGAAGCCGCACUCAGCGUUCGCCAACGAAUACUCAUCAAAACGAAAAACAGUCCAACAGCAGUUCAACGACUAGCCAGAAUUGAUGCCACUGUAUGCGUCAUGCUUUCCUUGCAGGUCCAAGAAACUUGUGCAAGACUGAUGAAAGAUUUGGCAGUUUUACUUGGAAGCCCCGCAUUCGUUCCAUUAUCGAUUGGCGUUGGCUGCUGUAAUCAAGAAAAUGUGAUCACCGUUACUCACACAGCUGAAGAUAUCGAAAAGGCUCUAUUGGAUCUUCUCGAAAAAAUUACUGUCAAUGUACCUUUCGAUGCUGAUGCUAUCCCUGCAAAAUGCAACCUAAGUCUCACCGUACCGACUGAUGUGCAGUUAAUUUUCGAAGAUAGUAUCCGACGUUUUUCCGCUAAGUGCCGUGAAGAGAAAGAUUUCUAUCUUAAAGAAUGUGACACGCGCUUUGGCGAUAUCAUUCGUGGAGAAGUAACCGCUAAAACAGACGAGCUUUUGGCUGCUGAAGAAUGUAGCAUCGAUGUGUUUAUCCCUGCAAUAAUUAAACUUCGUUCUCGGCUUAAGCAGGCUGGCCUUCUUUGGGAAAUCUACCCUUACCAUCGUUUAUGGUUCUUGAAUGUGGAAUUGAAGGUCGAGAUUCACAGCCAGUUGACAAAUGAUAAAACCCGUUUGAAAGAGUGUUUGCUAGGAAAAUAUCGCAAGGAAACUAAUCGGUUGCUGGCGGAAUUGGAUCGAAUGAAAAAACAGAUUCUGCAGCCUCCUUCAAACACAAUGGAACUGCUGGGACGUAGUGCCUACUUGGAGGAAGCUCGCAAUAAACCCCUGAACGAUCUGAUCGCCUCUAUGACAGCACUCAAAGGACUUUUCGUUCGGCUUACAGAGAUUGUCACUUAUAGCGAUGCUGAUGUUAUAAGAUCUUCGCAAGCAUUCUUCGGACCUGACGAGAUUGUACCUAUGCUUGACGAUGGCACUGAGUUGAUCGCAAAAUAUCGGAGGCAAUUCGAAGAUCGCUAUCAGGAAGUACUUGAAAAGACACAAAAAGAUUUGAAGCGCUUGAAGGUGAAAAUGAAACAUUUUAACAAUUGUGGUGACUGGGAAUCGGUAGAGCAUUACGUUAAAGACAUUACGACAAUGUCCCGUAAAGUUCAAGAGAUUCAAAAAACAGCCAACUGGAUUACCCAAGAAGAAAUUCAGCUCAAGUACCCCAUCACAUCAUUCCCGGAAAUUGUAGAGAUUAACAAUUAUAUUGAGCCCUACAUUCGCCUUUACGUCAGCGUUCACUCUUGGCGAAAACUGCUGAAACGCUGGUUAGAUGGUGAUUUCCAUAAUUUGAAUGCUGAUGAUAUAGAAAAUCAAACGGACGAAAUGUCGAGGGAAAUGUUUCGACUCCAAAAAGUGUUUCGAGCUAGAGGAAAACAAUUGGAAGUUGGUAACGCUCAGUCAAGAAAAGCAAACGAAGGCGCCAACCAAAUGGGAUCAUCUUUAAAGAUGUGUCAAAGAGGGCUAGAUGACGUGAAAGAUUUCAAGGUACAAUUACCGCUAGUUGGAGUUAUAUGCAAUCCUGGUCUAAGGGAACGACACUGGAAAGACAUGUCGGAGCUAGUAGGCAAAGAUUUAAAGCCAAACACCGGAACGACGCUGAGAAAGUUCUUGAAUCUCGGCUUGAUGCCCUAUUUAGAAAAGUUUGAAGUGAUCAGUGGAGCAGCCAGCAAAGAAUUUAGUUUAGAAAGAGGCAUGAAAUCUAUGGCUGAAGAAUGGAAUGUCGUGGUUUUUUCUACCGCCAAAUACAGAGACACAGACACACCUAUUUUGGCAGGCGUGGAUGAAAUUCAAGCUCUUUUAGACGACCACCUUAUUAAAACACAAACCAUGAAAGGAUCGCCUUUCGUCCGACCAGUAGAAAAGCAAUUACUCGCAUGGGAGAGUACUUUGUUGAGAAUUCAACAGACUAUCGAGGAAUGGCUGGUAGUUCAAAGUCAGUGGCUGUAUCUGGAUCCGAUUUUUUCAUCACCAAAUAUUAUCGAUCAAAUGCCUGAAGAGGCUGCUUUAUUUAAGAGCGUCGAUUCAAUCUGGCACAGCGUUAUGAGUGCACUGGUUUCAGAUCCAAAUGUGAUGCAAACAGCCGGAUCGGUAGGAUUGCUAGAACAGUUGACCCAUUCGUCAAAACUUCUUGAACAAAUCAACUUUGGUGUCAACGCGUACCUCGACAAAAAGCGGCUAUAUUUUUCAAGGUUCUUUUUCCUUUCGAACGAGGAAAUGCUGGAUAUUUUGUCAGAAACGAAGGACCCGCUGAGAGUACAGACUCACCUUAAAAAGGUCUUUGAAGGGAUCGCUUCGUUAGAGUUUGAUGAGGAUUAUGUUAUUCACGCAAUGAUCAGUCCGCAAGGAGAGCGAGUUCCAUUCAUCAAUCCAGUAAGGACUGCAGAUGCUCGAGGAAGCGUUGAAGUUUGGCUUCUUCAGGUUGAGGAAGCUAUGAUUGAUGCGUGCCGCGGUACAAUCCAGCAAUCGCUAAAAACCUGCGUCGAAUCAAGCCGACACGAUUGGGUAGCGAAGACCCCGGGACAAGCUGUACUCUGCGCCGCUCAAGUUCAAUGGGCGGCUGGUAUCACUCACGCUAUUAUGCAAGGACCUAAAGCGCUGAAGCAGUAUUAUAAGGACCUAUGCUGUAAAUUGAACGAGAGCGCUUCGCUGGUAAAAAUGCCUUUGGCUAAAUUAGCGCGUACUACUUUGGGAGCUCUGGUGGUAACAGAAGUACAUACACGAGAUCUCGUCCAUGAACUGAUAGAAAAUGAUGUCACCGACAUAAACAACUUUAGUUGGAUUUCCCAAUUACGCUAUUACUCAGAAGAAAACAACGAAAUUCUUGUAAGGAUGAUUAAUGCUACAUUGAAAUACGCAUACGAGUACUUGGGCAAUACAUCGAGAUUGGUUAUCACACCACUGACUGAUCGCUGCUACCGAACACUCAUCGGAGCAUACCACUUGCAUUUGAGUGGUGCACCGGAGGGUCCAGCUGGAACGGGUAAAACCGAAACAACAAAAGAUUUGGCCAAAGCACUAGCCGUCCAGUGUCUGGUAUUUAAUUGCUCGGAUGGUCUGGAUUAUGUGGCUAUGGGAAAGUUUUUUAGGGGUCUUGCAUCAUCCGGAGCAUGGGCAUGUUUUGAUGAGUUCAACCGAAUUGAGGCUGAAGUGUUAUCAGUGGUUGCCCAGCAAAUGCUCUCUAUUUUACACGCCAUUCAAUCUCACAUGAAGACUUUCAUUUUUGAAGGGAUUGAACUUAAAUUAAAUCCCAUGUGCUUUGUCUGUGUAACUAUGAAUCCUGGAUACGCGGGUCGUUCUGAACUGCCAGACAAUUUGCGGGUUCUUUUCCGGACUGUGGCCAUGAUGAUUCCUGAUUAUUCAAUGAUUGGAGAGAUCUCACUUUACUCUUACGGAUUCACAGAUGCGCGUAACCUAGCCACAAAAAUUGUCACCACCUAUAAACUUUGCUCUGAGCAGCUGUCCACGCAGUCACAUUACGAUUACGGUAUGCGUGCUGUGAAGUCUGUGCUGGUAGCCGCUGGUAAUCUCAAAGUCCAGUCACCGACCGACGCAGAAGACUCCCUUAUCCUUCGAUCCUUAAUGGAUGUAAAUUUGCCCAAGUUCUUGGCUGGAGAUCUUACUCUAUUUCAUGGUAUCAUAGCUGAUCUUUUUCCUGAAAUUCCUCUGCCUCAGUCUAAACACAAUGCUUUGCUGGCUGCCAUUCAACAGGCUUGCGAUGAGAGAGACCUGUUGUUGACGGAUAAAUUUGCACAGAAAGUGAUCCAAAUGUACGAGAUGAUGUUAGUCCGACAUGGAUUCAUGCUCGUCGGUCGACCAAUGGGAGGCAAAUCGACAGUGAUUCAAGUUUUGGCAGCUGCUUUGAAUUUUCUUUCAACGAAGGAUAACGAAGAAACUGGCGUCAUUUAUCGCACGCUGAAUCCGAAAGCGGUUACACCCGGAUUGUUAUUCGGCCAGUUCGAUCCUGUAACUCACGAAUGGGUUGAUGGCAUUGUGUCUCUCAUAUUUCGCGAACUAUCAACUUCGGAGUCAACAGCCCGAAAAUGGAUCAUCUUUGACGGACCGGUAGAUGCUGUUUGGAUAGAAAAUCUCAACACAGUAUUGGAUGACAAUAAAAAACUUUGUCUAGCGUCGGGUGAGAUCAUCGGCCUCACACCAUCGAUGUCUUGUAUAUUUGAAGUCAUGGAUUUGGCACAGGCGUCACCUGCAACUGUUUCUCGUUGCGGUAUGGUUUAUGUCGAUCCCGGUGAUCUUGGUUGGCAACCCCUCUUUCAUACCUGGCUUAAGUCCUUCACGUCAAACUGGAAAGCCGCAUUAGAACCGGUACUCAUCAGUCUGAUUCAGUGGCUUGUUCCAGCCUCUCUUAGUGGCAUCCGCAAAUUUGGUGUCGAGUUGCUGGUUGUGGAGGAGAACAGCAAAGUCUCGUUUCUCUUACGUAUGGUGCAAGCUUUAAUGCAACGGUGUUGUGCCGGAUUGAAAGAUGUCAGAUAUGGCCGUGCCUGGCUGCAGGCUUCAAUACUUUUUGCGCUCACGUGGACAGUUGGCGGAGCUCUAGAAAGCGAAAGUCAGAUCAAAUUUGACACCUUUGUGAGAUCGCUGUUGUCAGGAAAAAGUGAGGCCUUUCCAUAUCCAACAAGUGCUGGACGUUGGGAGUGUCAUUUACCUUCUGACGGAACCCUUUAUGAUUACGUUUACGAGUACAAGCAGCGUGGUCAGUGGCGUCAGUGGGCUGAAACUGUCCGGAAUAUACCCAUUCCUGAUGCAAAAUCUCUUAAGGAACUUACUAUACCUACGGUUGACACUGCAAGGUACUCGUAUCUAUUGGAUCUAAGCAUAGCUAGCCGUACACCAAUACUACUUGUUGGCCCCACUGGAACGGGAAAAUCUCUUUGCAUCCAGGAAAAAAUGAGUGGAUUCAGCGAUGAAGAAUUCGCCUCCCUUUCUCUAACGUUCACUGCUCAAACAUCGGCAGCUCAAGUUCAGGAUUUGAUAUUGAGUCGGUUAGAGCGGCGCAAAAAAGGUAUCUAUGGUCCACCGGCCGGUCGUCGAUGUUUGGUUUUUGUUGAUGACCUCAACAUGCCAGCAAAAGAAACUUAUGGAGCACAGCCAUCUCUAGAACUUCUCCGGCAGUACUUUGAUUAUCAUCAAUGGUAUGACCGCAAAGAGGCUAAUCUUCUGGAUAUUCAAGAUAUUCAAAUUUGGGGAGCAAUGGGUCCUCCUGGUGGUAGUCGUCAAGAGAUAUCUCCACGAUGUCUACGCCAUUUUCAUAUUAUUGCCAUCAAUCCGUUCUCCGAUUCUACAAUGACCCAUAUCUUCAGUACCAUAUUAACAAUCCACUUAAGCAAAGGAGGAUUUCCUCCAGACGUCUUCAGUCUUGUCGGUUCUAUCGUUUCUGCAACUUUGGAGAUCUACCGUGCAGCUUUAAGAAUACUCCUCCCCACACCAUCAAAAGCUCAUUAUGUUUUCAGUCUGAGAGAUUUUGCUCGAGUCAUUCACGGUUGUUGUCUCAUUCAAAAGGAUGCUGUUGAGAACCGUAGAACAUUUUUGAGGCUUUGGAUUCACGAAGUAUUACGCGUCUUCGGUGACCGACUAGUUGACGAGAAUGACACCAAUUGGUUGUACAACAUGCUUCGUGAAUGCGUCCGCACCCAUUUUCGGGAGAACUUUGACGGUUUACUUGAACAUCUUGGUCGCACCGAUGGCAGAGUGACGUUGGCCAGUCUAGAAAAUUUAAUGUUUGGAGAUUAUACUGUGCCAGACUUGCUUCAAGAAGACAGAACUUACAAGGAGGUUACCGACGUGACGCGGCUCGAUUCGGUCAUUAUGAGUUACAUCACAGACUAUAAUAAUACGAAUAAAUCCCGAUUGAAUCUCAUCCUUUUCCAAUAUGUGCUAACACACUUGAGCCGGAUUAGUCGCGUGUUGCGGAUUUCAGGUGGUCAUGCUCUGUUGAUUGGUGUAGGUGGAUCAGGAAGACAAUCCCUAACGAAAUUGGCAGCUUCCAUGGCAGGAUACACGCUUUUUCAGCCGACUGCCAAACCUAAUUACGGACUAAAUGAAUGGCGCGAAGAUGUAAAACGUGUACUGCGAACGGCUGGUGGUCUUGGUCGUGACGUUGUCUUUCUAAUUUUGGACUCUCAACUCAAUAAUGCUUCGUUCCUUCAAGACAUUGAUUCAAUGCUAAACAGUGGCUUGGUACCUAACAUCUUUUCUGUGGAAGAGAAGCAAGAGUUGAUUGAAUUGGUCAGGAAAAAUCGACAGAGUGCCCCACAAAUGGAAAGCAGCCCGGCGUCGCUUAUGACUUAUUUUGCGCAGCAAUGCAAAGAUCAUUUACACUUGGUGUUGGCAUACAGCCCAUUGGGAUCCAGCCUACGCGAUAGUGUCCGAUAUUUCCCUUCUUUAAUUAACUGCUGCACCAUCGAUUGGUUUGAAGCAUGGCCAGAAGAAGCGUUGGAAAACGUAGCUGUAAGCACAGUAGAGACGAUCGAAAUUCCCGCUGAUACAAAACGUCAAGUAGUUGUGGCGUGCAAAUAUUUCCACACUACGGCAACGAAAUACGCAAACAUGUUUACGCUUAAACUAGGUCGACCAGUUUAUGUCACUCCGGCGUCUUACCUAUCACUAUUGGACGGAUUUCGCAAUUUGAUGUCGGAGCAACAGCAACAAAUCAGGCAGGCAAUUGAGCGAUAUCGCAGCGGUUUGUCUCGCUUAGCUGAAGCGUCCGCUCAAGUCAACCAGAUGCAGAUCGAAUUGUCAGAACUGCAACCAAAACUUGUGGAAGCUUCCAAACAAACGGAUCUCAUGAUGAAAACUAUUCAACAAGAAUCUGCGGAAGUAGAGAAAACGUCGACACUGAUUCGAGCCGAUGAAGUUGCCGCAAACGAGGAAGCUGCAGUUUCUACAGCAUUGAAAGCCGAAUGUGAAGCUGAUUUAGCCGAAGCAUUACCUGCAUUAGAAGCUGCUUUGGCUGCUCUCGAUACUCUCAAACCCGCUGAUAUUACUUUGGUUAAAUCAAUGAAGAAUCCACCGAAGGUUAUUAAAACGGUUAUGGCUGCCGUAUGUGUUAUGAAAGACAUCAAACCGGAGAAAAUUCUUGAUCCUGAUGGUUCCGGCAAAAAGAUCCUUGACUUCUGGGGGCCCAGUAAAAAGUUGCUCAAUGAUUUAGGCUUUCUUACUCAAUUGAAAGAAUACAAAAAGGAUACGAUCCCGCCUCACAUUAUGCAGCGAAUUCGCACAGAGUUUUUACCGAAUCCAGAUUUUGAGCCAUCAGUUGUUGCUAAAGCGUCCAGCGCAGCUGAAGGUCUUUGCAAAUGGGUGAAAGCCAUUGAAAUCUACGACAAAACGGCCAAAAUUGUAAUGCCGAAAAAAGCCAGGUUAGCUGCAGCCGAGGCUAGUCUUGAAGAGACGAUGAAUCUGUUGAACUUGAAGCGAAAUCAGUUAGCUGUAUUAGAAGCUCGGCUGGCUCAAUUGAAAGAUGAUUAUGCCGAAGGAUGCAGAAAACGGCAACAGUUGUCCGACGAUGUUGACAUGUGCUCCAAAAGACUCAGCCGAGCAUCAGCUUUGAUUGGUGGCUUGGGAACGGAAAGAGAGCGUUGGUCAGAUGCCGAGAUCAAAUUAAUGGAUAAAUUGGAGAAUUUGACUGGAGACAUUAUGCUCUCCGCUGCUGUGAUGGCCUAUAUGGGUCCUUUGACAUCGGCCUUCCGCGAUCAGUGUUCCGCCGAUUGGGUUCAAUUUACCACCAACUUGGGAAUACCGUGCUCAGCCCGUUUCAGCUUGUCUGACACGCUUGGUUCUGCCGUUCGGAUUGAAGGUUGGACAGAAGCGGGUCUCCCUAGAGAUAGUUUUUCUAUUGAUAAUGCAGUCAUGGUAUACCAUCAAAAGAAGUGGCCACUGCUUAUUGAUCCACAAGGCCAAGCGAAUGCGUGGUUAAAAUGCUGGGAACUCGAUCGAGGUUUAGUCGUCUUACGAGCCGGCCAAUCUGACCUUCUCCGCCAGUUAGAACAAACAAUUCCUUCUGGACGUCCUGUACUUAUUGAAGAAGUAGGCGAAGAACUUGAUCCUUCCUUAGAUCCCCUUUUAUCGCGCUCCAUUCAGAAGCAAGGUGGAGUGGAAAUGAUACAGAUAGGUGAUGGAAUGGUCGAAUAUCACCGCGAUUUCCAGCUAUACAUGACUAGCAAGCUGCGAAAUCCUCAUUUCCUUCCAGAAGUAACAACUAAAGUUUUAGUCAUCAACGCCGCCAUCACUUUGAAAGGCUUGGAGGACCAAUUGCUCGGAAUUGUGGUUGCCGAAGAAAGGCCAGACUUGGAAGAGAUGCGUCAAAGGUUGGUCAAAGAAGGUGCUGCGUGUCGCUCAGCCUUGCAAGAAGUAGAGGACCAGAUAUUGGCUACGUUGAGUAAAGGGGGUAACUUGUUGGAAGAUGAAGCGGCCAUUCGUGUUUUGGACGAAUCUAAAGUACUUUCGGCUGAAAUCGUUACAAAGCAGCAGAUGGCUUCAGAAACGUCAGUACGGAUGGAACAAUCAAGACAGGCUUACAUGCCAGUAUCCCAGCACGCAGCAGUUCUCUUUUUCUGUUUGGCGGAAUUAAUCAACCUCAGUCCAAUGUACCAAUAUUCCCUUAAGUGGUUCAUUCGACUAUUUCUUCACUCUAUCCGCAACUCAAGCCGCCCGGAACGCGUUGAAGAACGGCUGGAGAUACUUCAGAAUCAUUUCGACCGUGCAUUGUACACCAACGUUUGCCGGAGUCUUUUUGAAAAAGACAAACUUCCAUUCAGCAUGGCUCUAACUUCUUCACUUAUGAUACAACGCGGAGAAAUGUCCUCCGCUGAGAUCGACCUCUUUCUUACAGGCAGCAAGAGUUUGACCCGCGGAAUAGCAGCUGAAUGCCCUGAAUGGCUCAGUUUAAAGACGUGGGAUCAAAUCUGUCAGUUGGCGGGUGAGCCACCCUUCAUUGACGCCAAUCGAUCCUUGAUGCGAGGGUCAGAUCAGUGGCAAUCUGUCGCCGAUGCAAUCAAUCCCUACGAAAUGGAUUUGCCAGAAGACUGGAAUAAGAAAUGGAAACCAUUCCAGCGGCUCCUUUUCCUGCGCUACUUGGCACCCAGUAAAAUUGUUCGUAUGGUUAGAACAUUUGUGGCUGAACAACUUGGCGUGGAGUUCGUCCAGCCGCCUCCGUUCGAUUUGUCUUGCUCUUUUGAUGACUCAGAUUCAACUACUCCGUUAAUCUUCCUGCUAACUGCUGGCGCUGAUCCUAUGGCCUGCUUACUUCGAUUUGCUGAAGAGUAUCGAUCUGGUGAUGGAACGCUUCACAUUGUUUCACUUGGCCAGGGACAGGGCGUCCUAGCUGAAGAAAAAAUCCGCCAGGCGAUCGUCAGUGGAGAGUGGGUCAUCCUACAAAACUGUCAUUUAGCAGCGUCGUGGAUGCCCGCCCUGGAGCGCAUCUGUCAAAAAUUGGGCAGCCAAACUAUCCAUCCCAAAUUUCGACUUUGGUUGACCAGUUAUCCAUGGGAAAGCUUCCCAGUAUCUAUAUUACAGAACGGUGUUAAAAUCACGAACGAGCCUCCUGUUGGAUUAAAAGAAAAUGUACUCAGAACUUUCAAUCCUGAUCCUUUGGACGAUCUUGUUCAACAGCAAGAUCAACUUGAAUGGCCUACCCAAAAAAUGUUGACCCUUCGGAAACUGAGCUACUCUCUCUGCUUUUUCCACGCACUGGUACAAGAAAGACGGACCUACGGUGCUAUAGGUUGGAACAUACCUUACGCAUUCGAUGAUUCUGAUUUGCAAAUUUCACUGAAACAAAUUCGCAUCUUUGUGACUGAUUACGAACAAGUCCCAUAUCAGGCACUGCAAUACUUAGUAGGAGAAUGUCAUUAUGGUGGACGAGUGACAGACGAUUGGGAUCGGCGUACGCUGAGCACUCUACUGGCAGAUUUCUGCAAUCCAGAAUUGGUUGAAAAUCCUACAUAUUCCCUUGUACAACCAGUGCAUCCAAUGUACCAUCUGCCACAUUCGGCUGAUUACGAAUCAUUUUUGGAGGCAGUCCAACGUUUGCCGGUUUUGCAAGCACCAAACGUUUUUGGAAUGCACGACAACGUUACUAUUGGACGCGAUUUGCUCGAAGGAGACUAUCUACUAAGUAGCCUUCUUUCUCUGCAAGGUUGCUAUUCUUCCGGAAUAGACGAAAGUGAAGAAGGCGAGCAAGCUGAAGGAGAAGAAACUCGGGAAGAUUCAGGCGAGAAAUCGCAACAGCAAACUGCUCCGCCUCCAGCAGCCUCAUCUCAAAAGAAGCCUACGGACGCAAUUUUGAAUGAAAUGAUUCAGGAUUUGAUCCAACAGUUACCGGACAACUUUGAUUUGGAUUUGGCUGAGGAAAAAUUUCCGAUUAAUUAUCUCCAACCACUGAACACAGUUCUGGUUCAAGAGAUGGGACGUUACAAUCGACUGGUCGGUAUCAUCCGCACAAAUCUUGGCUCACUGCAACGAGCUGUUUGCGGGCAUGUAACAAUGACGGCCGAGUUGGAAGCUACUGGAAAAGCAUUACUAAGCAAUCGUGUUCCAGCCGUCUGGAGAGCAGCUUCUUAUCCUAGUCUAAAACCAAUGCGAGGCUAUUUUAGUGAUUUACUGGAACGGUUGCAGUUCUUCAGAUCGUGGUAUGAAGAAGGUCAGCCAGUGAUUUUUUGGCUUCCGGCUUUCUACUUUCCUCAAUCCUUCCUUACUGGGGCUCUGCAAACAACGGCUCGUAAAAACCGAAUCCCAGUUGAUUGUCUUUACCACCACUGCCGAGUUAUGAGUCCCCAAAAAUUUGGCAAUCUUGAAACCCCUCCAACGGAAGGAGUUUACGUCCGUGGUUUGUUUCUUGUUGGAGCUCGCUGGGACGGUGACGAGGAAACCUUAACCGAACAACGUCCCAAGAUUUUAUGGGAAGAAAUGCCCGUUCUCUGGCUGAAUCCAUCCGAACAUCUUAAAGCUGGUAAACAGAUGAAUCAACAGGACACCUAUACGUGCCCACUUUACCGUACAUCUGAGCGACGGGGAGAGCUGUCAACAACAGGUCAUUCUACUAACUUCGUUAUGUCGCUCGAGCUGCCGACCAAAAUACCACACACCCAUUGGAUAAAGCGAGGCGUGGCCCUUAUCACUCAAUCAGACGAUUAAAUGUAAGUGUUUGAAUCCAAAAACCCUCCGUUGAUCUGUCAUUAGAUGUAAGAUAAGAUAUGAAUACUGGUAUUUCAAAGUUACUUCACUUUGUAAAACACUAAAUAACGUAGUUAAAUGACUAGUUGUGUUGAAAAUGUAGAAAAUCGCUUUUUAACAGCAAAUUGAAGCAUUGUUUCUCUUUAAUUAUUUUUUGAGUUCCCCUUGUAAUUACGUCAAGUUCCAUGCCGUACAUUUAGUAAGUUACUUAUCUACGCUUACACUCAGAGAUGCCGCGAUCGAUUGCUGAUCAAGAUCGAUUGUGAUCGAUCGAUCCGUUUUGCUGAUCGUGAAACGAUCGAACGGCAGCUCUGCUUACACUGAUAAUGAAUAGAUAAAAAAAAAGAUAACGACUGGACUACAUAUGACGAUAUGCAUACACCAUGAAACAUUUAGGAGUAUGUGUUCAAGUUAUUCACUUCAUUGUUGAACCGUGGAUGAAAUGCUAACUUGAGUUAUUAAAAAUUAAACGUAUUAUUUAGUAACAUUAUUGCCGUGUAUAACAUACUAAAUCAGUGACUAAAAAAGAAUUGAAAUGAAGCAAGGAAACAUUUCAAUAUCGAAACUCAAUUGCAAAAAGGUUUUUGUGAUAUUUCUGAUUUUAAACGUAGUGCUCGCAGUUGUACUGUUUGGAAGACAAAAUGAAAAUUUCAGUUUUCAACAGCUCUAUUCGCCUUCUAACACAUCUUUGUUUGAUGUAUUCCAGAGUGCUCCAACACUGCGUGAAAAUAAAACUAUUUUGAUAUGGAACAGUGCACAUCGGAUCGAGACGGCCGCAUUUGGAUUUGAACUCGACUCAUUUCGCCGGCAUGGUUGCGAAGUUUCUGAUUGCAUUGUUUUCGACAAUGCAACAUCACACGAAUUAUUGCCGCUUGAAGAUUACGAUGCAAUCAUUAUUCACAUGCAUGAGCUGUAGUUAACACACCUGCCAGAAUUUCAGAGAAAAUCACAUCAGCGCUUAAUUUUUCUAUCGCAAGAAUCGCCUACUACACUGCCCAUCGACGUAACUAAGUUUGAGUUUCACCGCUUCCGACAGCACCCAAAACUUCAGAAGAAACGCUCAAAAUGAUUGAAGAAACGCAUCUCUCAUCAACCAAAAACUACGCUGCCAACAAAACCUCGCCGGUCGUUUGGAUGGCAUCUCAUUGUGGUACUCACAGUUUGCGAGAAACUUACGUGCGUCAGCUUGGAAAAUUCAUCCCUGUCGAUGUUUAUGGCGGAUGCGGUAAUUUGAGUUGCUCUCGAAAUCACUCACACUGGCUAUCUUUCCCGCAGUGCUACAACGUAUUGGAGGAGAAAUACAAAUUCUAUUUGUCGUUCGAAAAUUCAAUCUGCACCGAUUACGCCACGGAAAAAUUCUUUGAGAUUCUGAAGCACAAUAUGAUUCCGGUCGUCUACGGAGGAGCCAACUAUAGCCAGAUCGCACCACCCCAUUCUUACAUUAAUGCACUGGAUUUUACUCCGGAGAAAUUGGCCGUGUACCUGAAACUUGUUGAUUCCAACGACACGCUCUACAAUGAGUAUUUCUGGUGGAAGGAUCACUAUGAGGUAGAAGCUGGAGUGGAACAAAUGGCCAGCCACGGUUUCUGCGACUUGUGCAAGAAACUUCACCAAGAUCAAGGUGUAAUCAAGUACUAUUCCGAGUUAGUUUCGGAGUGGCAUUACAAUACGCAAUGUCAUCAGUUUACUUCUUGGGAAACUCAAAGUUAGCAACAAAUUAUAACCAUCAUUUUCAUACUUACCAUGGCAAACUUUCUUAACCUCUGAUCCCAUUCCGCGUUUGAUUUGGUUUCAUUUAUUUAUCUGUGAGUUCUAUGUCUAUAAUAUCUGCUAGGGAACUGAUUAAAUGUAUGUUAAUCGAAUAGCUAAAAAUCAACUAAAUUGUUACAUUUGGAACAUGAUAUGGAAUAAUGAACCAUUAAUAAGAAAUCCGUUAAAAGUCACGUUUUCUGCAACGAAAUAAAAGAACCUGAAACAGC